CGGUGUAGUAGCCAUCAAAGUGGAGGCCCUCUCUUGGGCCCGAGCUAGAAAGUGCUUCCACUUUGUGUGCCACUGCAUGG
rnacentral:pre_miRNA from 14 species